CUAGACGACGCUGGCGGCGGGCUUAACACAUGCAAGUCGAACGAGAAAGGGUUCUUCGGAACCCGAGUAAAGUGGCGAACGGGUGCGUAGCACGUAGGUAACCUGCCCUUGAGUGGGGAAUAACUACCGGAAACGGUGGCUAAUACCGCAUGAAGACCAGAGAUCGCAUGAUCUUCGGUUGAAAGACUUCGGUUGCUCAAGGAUGGGCCUGCGGCGGAUUAGCUUGUUGGUGAGGUAAAAGCUCACCAAGGCUACGAUCCGUAGCUGGUCUGAGAGGAUGAUCAGCCACACUGGCACUGAGACACGGGCCAGACUCCUACGGGAGGCAGCAGUGAGGAAUCUUGCGCAAUGGAGGAAACUCUGACGCAGCCACGCCGCGUGAAGGAAGACACCCCUAUGGGGCGUAAACUUCUUUUAUAUGGGAAGAACACCCUGCCCGGCAGGGUCUGACGGUACCAUAUGAAUAAGCACCGGCUAACUCCGUGCCAGCAGCCGCGGUAAUACGGAGGGUGCAAGCGUUGUCCGGAAUCACUGGGUGUAAAGGGUGUGUAGGCGGGGCAGUAAGUCAGAGGUGAAAGCCCACGGCUCAACCGUGGAAUUGCCUUUGAUACUGCUGUUCUUGAGUCCUGGAGAGGUCGCCGGAAUUCGUGGUGUAGCGGUGAAAUGCGUAGAUAUCACGAGGAACACCGGAGGUGUAGACGGGUGACUGGACAGGUACUGACGCUGAGGCACGAAAGCGUGGGGAGCAAACAGGAUUAGAUACCCUGGUAGUCCACGCCGUAAACGAUGGAUGCUCGGUGUUGCCCCGUUUCAGGGGCAGUGCCCAAGCUAACGCAUUAAGCAUCCCACCUGGGGAGUACGCUCGCAAGAGUGAAACUC
rnacentral:rRNA from 1 species